GCAGUCGUGGCAGAGUGUUUAAGGCGAUGGACUAGAAAUCCAUUGGGAUCUCCCCGCACAGGUUCGAAUCCUGUCGACUGCG
rnacentral:tRNA from 2 species